rnacentral:tRNA from 1 species
ACGAAUGUGGCGGAAUGGUAGACGCGGGAGCUUCAAAAGCUCUUGUUCAUUAGAACAUACGGGUUCAAAUCCCGUCAAUCGUA